UCAAGGAACUCAAACAACGUGUGAUAUGUUAUGAUUUAAUUUAAAAACUUAACUCUUAGGUACAAUUUUAUUUACAAAACGCAAGCUACCUAUUACUCGUAUAGUAUCUACUUAUUCUUACACAGUUGAUAAAUAGGUACUAAGAUGUUAAUGUUAUGCGAGUUCAAGUAGAGUAGAAA